rnacentral:tRNA from 1 species
GUUAAUGUAGCUUAAAAUUAAAGCAAGGCACUGAAAAUGCCUAGAUGAGUGCUCCAACUCCAUAAACA